CUUGCGAUCUAGAACUCCAGGGUAUCAAGAGCACCACGGCAACCAUACCACACAGUCAGACGACACAUACGUGAAGGUUACACAUACACAUACGUGAAGGUUCACAUACGCGUAUGUGAACGUAUACAGUGCCCUGUAUACGUUCAAAAAAGGUUGUGCCUGAAGCUUGAUGGGUAAACUAGCUGCCACUGCAGAUACACCCUGUAGCAAAUUUUUUUUUU
rnacentral:lncRNA from 1 species